rnacentral:rRNA from 2 species
CAGAACGUCGUGAGACAGUUCGGUCCCUAUCCGUCGUGGGCGUAGGAAAUUUGAGAGGAGCUGUCCUUAGUACGAGAGGACCGGGAUGGACAUACCUCUGGUGUACCAGUUGUCGUGCCAACGGCAUAGCUGGGUAGCUAUGUGUGGACGGGAUAAGUGCUGAAAGCAUCUAAGCAUGAAGCCCCCCUCAAGAUGAGAUUUCCCAACUUCGGUUAUAAGAUCCCUCAAAGAUGAUGAGGUUAAUAGGUUCGAGGUGGAAGCAUGGUGACAUGUGGAGCUGACGAAUACUAAUCGAUCGAAGACUUAAUCAAAUU